UACGUAGGGGGCAAGCGUUGUCCGGAUUUAUUGGGCGUAAAGAGCAUGUAGGCGGCCGUACAGGUCAGCUGUGAAAACUCGAGGCUCAACCUCGAGACGUCGGUUGAAACCGUACGGCUAGAGUCCGGAAGAGGAGAGUGGAAUUCCCGGUGUAGCGGUGAAAUGCGCAGAUAUCGGGAAGAACACCCGUGGCGAAGGCGGCUCUCUGGGACGGUACUGACGCUGAGACGCGAAAGCGUGGGGAGCGAACAGG
rnacentral:rRNA from 1 species